rnacentral:misc_RNA from 1 species
UCAACUAUCAAGCCUGGCUUGUUGUUGGAUUUUGCGGCUGUAACAUGUGGCAGGUCCGAAAAAUAAUGACGGUGUCAUGUUUGACCCUAAAUGCAACGAGCUUUUAUAGCACGCAUUGAAGUGGUCGACUGAACUGGUCUUAACCAUUAAUUUCUAA